GGAUGAGUCAUCUCACCAUCCGUCUGAGUAUGCUCGGCAUGCCAUCUCAUCUUCUCAGCAGUCUGCUCUGAUUGAUACAAUCUUUUCAUUCUGUCUGUAAUUGGUAGGUACCACAUCCUUUGGUACGGUACCCUAUUACGUCCCCGUCCUUGCGGCUUGAAUCUUGGCUUCUUGCAGAAUCGACAUUCUUCUAGCUUCUCGUUAUAUCCCCAAUGGAUCAAGCAGUUGUAGAUGCAAACAUCUAUCAUCUCUGAAGACAACCCAAGACUAUAAACCAGUUUCUGAAUCUCAUAAUAAGAAUCAGCAGACACAUUGUCUUCCGGCAAAUACUCUGUAAACAAGUCCGUCCAUUCGUUCAUGCAACUUUCAGGUAGAUUGUGAUCAGUUUUAAUAUUCAUCAUUCUAGCAGCAACGACAAUUUAGAGAGACCUUCUCUACAACCACUGUAAAGUGGUUGAUUCGCCGCGUUUAACAUUUCGUAAAACUUUUUUGCAUCUAUAUUAGGUUCUUCAUCUUCAUCAUGAGCUACGAAUGCAUCAGCUACCAUAUCAUGAACCCUAUCAUAAUCUACCAUCUCCUCCUGAUUGUAACUAUGUUCAUUAUGCAAAUGAUGAUCAACCGGUUCUUCCUGAAAAUUGCUAUUACUACUACUAGCUUCAUUUUGAUCAUAACUAAAACCUUGUCCAUGUUGAAACCAUAUAUAGUAAUUUGGCGUGAAACCUCUAUUUAUUAAAUGCUUCCAAACAUUUUCACGGUUUGCCAGUUUCGAAUUGUUGCAUUUUCGACAAGGACAAAACAUCUUACCACUUUCGUGGGCGAGCGGUGUUGAAUCUGCUUGAUGCAUAAAUGUCUCCAGCCCCGCAAGGUAUUCUUUCGUCACUCUCCCGUUAGCAUAUGUGUGCAUAUACAUCCACUUCCGCAACUCGUAAAUAGUUCCGGAGCCAGCCAUUUUUUUCUUUUACGUUUUUUGUUGUUGGUGUGUUUAAAAUGAUGUUCAAACAUCCAUAUUUAUGGGAAUUUUCGAAUCUGGUAGUUGUAAUUUUCCUAUGAAUUUACGAUGAAAAUUAAUUAGGUGCCAAAAAAAACGUGUAACACCUACAAAGUUGGUGGAUUUGAAUUUUCCUCGCUAAACACACGUAAAUCAUUUCCUCGUAAAUAACACGCGAAGUUUACGUAGACUUUACGAGGAACGUACGUGAAAAAUAAUAUCAUCGUUAUUUCCUCGUAAAUGACACGUCACGUUACAUCGACUUUACGACGAACUUCUUUUGUCAGUAGUUUACGAGGAAAUAACGAUGAUACUAUUUUUCACGUAAGUUCCUCGUAAAGUCGACGUAAAUUUACGAGGUUUGUUUUUCCUCGUUAAACUUGAGUUUUCUUGUAGUGCAAUCCAAAUCCUUAUAUUAAAUAUUAUUCAAAAAUAUAUUUUGUUUUCGUUUCAUAAAUAUAAAUUAGAAAUGACUUAGAAUAAAUAUAACAUUAAAGCAAAAUAUAACCAACUAUUAUGUUUUAGUUAUUUUAUAAAUAAUUUAUAUCAUAUGAAAUUUAAAAAGAUUAAUUUAUCGUGUUUUAUGCAAUUUCAUAUUGAUCACAGUUUUAGAUUUUUCAUUUCUUUCGAAAUAAUAUAUAUAAAGUUAUAAACUAUAAAAAACUUUUUAAAAAAAUUAAAAUAAGAACCAAAAAAUGAAAUAAAACAUAAUAUGAAUAUAUUUAGCCUAAUUAGAAAAUAUGAAGUUUUAUUUUUGAGAGAAAUAUAUGCAAUUUAAUGCAAACAAACCAAAUUCUUGAAAUAAAAUUACAGGUCUUAUUCAUCUAAAACAUAUUAGGUCCAUAUGUCUACAUGAAAUAAUAUUUAUUUAUUUUCAUGUAUAUAAAUUAUAUAAAAUUGUAAGAAAAUAAAAUCAAACAAUUAAUUAAUAUUAUAAAUUUUUAUAUAUGUACAUCAGCACAGGAGAAUCACCUAGUUUUACAUAUUUGUUAUUGUUAUUUUAGUUAACUAAGGGAAAUUAACCAAGGAAAAUUACAGUGACAUCCUAUUGAUCCAAUCUUUGGCAAUGAGUCAAGGAUUUCAUUGAGACGAAUAUUGCUGGAGUUAUACAAAGAGUAGUAUGUACACAGUUAAAUCCAUCUACUCGAUAACAACAAACUUGCUCAAUAGAAAAACAAUGGAGACAUAGAUAGAACUGAGAAUCACAAAACUCUAACCCUUUGCUUCGAAGAUAAAAGUUCCACCGAAAACCAGACACAUUAUAUGGAAAACGAGACAACUAGCAGUGACAAACAACCUAAUACAUUGUCAUAUCCGAUGUCACAACCAUUGUCCUAGAUGUGGAGUUGAAAUAUUAACCAUGCCGACUUUGAAUGUCCACCAGCUUUACCGAUGUGGGUCCUAGCAGCAACCCCGACCCCACCAUUGGUGUUACCAAGUGCAAGCCAUUACGCAAACAUGGACUAUUUAUUCUAGCGGAAGAAUGAUAUUGAAGAUCCUGAGAUGGAUAAAGACUCAUACCCUUAGAUUAUAUGGUACAUUUGGAAAGCGAGAAACGAUAAGUUAUUCAGAGGGACAGACAUGGACCCAUUGGAGGCUGUUAGAUACGCUGAGUCCGAAUACCAUGUAUGGUUUGAAGCUAAUCGUAAACAGGAAGAACCGGUAGAAAUACAACAUCAUGAACAAGUAACAAUCUCUGAGAAAUGUAGGAUAGAUGGAUCAUGGACACAUGACAUACUCUUCAGUGGUUAUGGAUGGACAUGAAUAAAGUCUAGAGGAUAGGAGUAACUCAGUUAUUGGAAUCAAGAAACCAACAAAGAAGAAUCUAGCCACUUCAUUCGGAGCUGAAGGCCCUCUCAUGGGUAAUAAAGUGCAUGCUACAACUGCCGACGUGCCAGGAUUUUGGCUCGAAUGUAAGGAUCUAGUCUCAAUGAUUCAAGAUCCCGGAUUAUGGCCUAACUUUUCAACUGAACUGAAGGAGCUGAUGAAGAUGAAGAGUAGAUUCACAAAGUUCUCGAUUGUUUUAUUCCUCGUACUGAAAAUGUCUUCAUUCAUUAGCUAAGAUAGCAAGAUUAUUUCAUAGGGACAUGUACUACAUUGGUUGUUCUGUUUUGGUCUUGUUCCCCAGACCAUCUCAACUUUGAGUAAUAAAAUAGUUAUUUGAUGGAAAAGAAAUGAUCUUUUUAUUUUAUAACUAAGUGCUUUCCUGCGCCAAGCGAAUACAUAAGAACUUUAAAAAAUAUUUUAUUACAUUAAUUUUUACUUAAUUAAUUUUAUUCUUUUUUUGUUUUGACAGCAAGAACAUUUACAGACUCAUAUAGACUCCGUAAAACAUAGUGGCAACUCUGCAUUCAUGUGUAUGACGAACGACGGUUGUAUCCGAGCACUGCGUGCCAAGCGAUCUGCCAUUUUAUUGUCCGUCCUCGAAACAUGAACAAUUUCUGAGUUGGUGAAGCUUCUUCUCAAAAGCUUGAUAUCCUCCAGGUAACUUCCAAAUGCUGGUCAUUCCUCUGGUUCUGAAACCAUCUUCACCAGUUGAGAACAAUCCGUUGCAAACGUGACCUGAUAUUGUCUUAAGUUUUUCAUACACUCCAUUGCCCAAGUCAAUGCCUCUAUCUUCGCAUGAAGAGGUGAUAAACUUGCCCUAACAUUCCUUGCCCCUAACAAACCCUUAAACCCUGGAAGGGUACUAAGCCAACCUUGUCCUGAAAAAACAUCUUUAUCUUUCCAAGACCCAUCCGUGAAACACCAUCUUCCUGUGGUCACUAAGGGCAAUCUAAGCUGUACUUCAUUAAUUAAUUUUAUUCAAUUAUAUAUAAAGUAAUCAAUAUUUUUUUCAAUUGAUUUUUAAGCUGCCACGUAAGCUAAAUUGACAUCCUAAGCUGCCAUGUAAGCUAAAUUGGCAUCCUAAUUAAGUCACACCUAAGCAGAAUCUAUUUUCAAUUAGUACAAACUUAAAGUUACAACUUUUUAAAUGAUCCUCAAUAAAUAUAUAGCGGAUGUGUCUUAGAAUCUAAUAUAUUGGGAAAUGAUACAAAAUACUCUUGUUAAAGUACUAUUUUCACGUACAUCUAUACUAUUAAAAGGGAAGGAGCACCAAAAAAUCUACUUAUGAAAGGUUGUUGGAGUUAUUCACUAGACUUAAAUAUUUUUUUGGUCUCAUCCUAUAUUUCUCUAACUAUACAAUAAUCAAUUACCUUAUAUUUCUCUAACUAUAAAAUAAUAAUGCUCUUAUUUAUUACUCAACUUACUAUGAUACACCAAAGAUUUAUACAUCAAUAUUAUUAAUCCAGAAUCAUUGCUAUAUUUUGCCUCUAUUUUUCCUCGGAAUAUUACUUUUGUGUCAUUAUACCUAUUUAAAAAAAAACAAAUUAUUUUAUAACUAAUUUAAUAAUCAUACAACCCACGAUCAUUUUUUUUUAACACCAGCAGUUACUAUAAAAACAUUUGGAUUUAUUGGUAAUUAAAAUCUGGACAAUACCAUAUUUUUAAUUCAUAUUAAAUGUUUUAUGACCCAAACUAACAUAAAUACAUGAUGCAAGUACGGUUAACAAAAAGUUAAAAACAUGAUACCAUUCGACGGUCAAAACAUAUUAACUUCCAAUUACGAUUAGAGAAAUACUUCACAAUACAACAAAAAGCUUAAUUAUAUUUCAAAAGUAUAGCUUUUUCUUUGAAAACCUUCCUAGAUUAUUUUUGUGAUGAAAAUCUUUUACAACUGGGUUUAUUAGGGGAAAGGGUUUUGUAUAAAUAUUUUCUCAGAAAAUUAUAGCAAUUUAGAAAGUUUUUUAUGUUUAGAUAAAAUAUACUAUUUAUUUUUAACAUUUAUAGUUAACUCAACUAUACUCAACUUAAUAAUAAUUUUAUCUUUAAAAAUCAAAAAUUUAAUCUUAAAAAAGUCAUUAUAAAGCCUAUAAACUAGAAUGUAUAACAUAAAAACAAUGUAGUUUAUUCAAUUUUAUAUCUUAGUAAAAUUUAUUGGAGAAAUUUAAUCAAAUUUUGAAAAAUAUUAUCAUGCUAUUUUAGAUUUUUACCAUGUCAUCCGGUAUAGAUUCACGAGUUAAUAGGAGUUUUAGAUUUUAAAAUAUUUAAAAUAAUGAUUUUUUUAUUAAAUUGAAACUAGAUUAUAUACGGUGACUGCGUUUACUGGUUUGACUGUGAAUACCACUUAUUGGUGUUUUGGUUCCAUUGGAAAAUUAGACUAAAUGUUGAGGACUUAUUAAGAUAUUUUUUAAAUAUUUGAAAAAAAAGUUUGAGUAAUUUGUUUUUAUUGGAUAAUUUAGCUUAUAAAUAGUAUAUUUAAGAUAUUUGGUUAUUGAGAAAUUACAUAUAAUUAAUAUUUGUAGGUAUAUAAUUUGUAUUUUAAAAAUUCAGGUAUCUAUUUAUCUUGGUUCUAGAGAUAUAUGAUAUGUUCAGUUAUUUAUAAAUUUUGGUUUAAGUUUGGUUUCAUUUUUUCAAUUUGGUAUGGGUUGAUUAUUCGGUUCCGAAUAAUAUGGCCAAACAUAUAAACUAUCUUAUAUAAAAAUUUAUAUUAAAAAUUAUUAAAUUAAAAAAAUAAACCCGUGCUUGGUAAGCGUGGAUCAAAAUCUAGGUUUUGUUAAAUCUCAAUUUGUGGUAUAUAGUGAAAGAUUUAAUAGAAUUGGUUUGAUUACUUAUAUCUCCAAAGUGUAUUCAUUUUUGGUCACGCUAUUAUUGUUGAUACUUGUGGAUCUUAAAAUUCACACUAAGUAUUUCACUGAUUGUGAGUAAGGAAAGAAAAUAACGUGGACAACGAUAUCUUUAAAAUAUAACGAUGUAAUCAGAUUGCAGUUGACAAAAACAAACUCUAUUACUGAAGAAAAUUGGAAUAAAAUGAAGGUUACAAUGGAAUCAAUGAAUACAAUCUAAGACAAAAGUAUCCAGAGUAUGAGAUCUAGGUCGAGGACGAGUGUAUAGUGUAUCUAGGGUUAAGAAUGUGUGUCCCUCUCUCUUGAUCUCCUCCUCCUUUAUAGUCUUCUUUCUCGAUCUUCAUAAUCGUUUCUUAAGAUCGUGGAAAACCUCUUGAACGAAUAUGACUCACUUAUCCACUUGGCAUUUGGCAUGUCCUUCUUUCAUUUAUGUUGAUGGGCCUGGUCUUUGCUCUAAUGAUCAAUUUUUGUCGUCUGUUAUCCGUGUCAAUAGAGGUGUUAAAAUAGGUCCACAAUUGUCCCAGCCAUUUUUACUAGAUGACCGGAGCGAAAAAGGUAUGAGUAUGAUACAUCUUAAAUUAUACUAGAUCCAGCUUUACUCUCUCGAAUAAGAGGUUCUACUUAGAGAUCGAAUCCACAUGGAGUGUGGGCAGACGAUAAAUCAGACUAAAUGUAGAAUCAAACUAGGUAAGAAUAUAAUAAACAAUAAAUGAUUAAUAAGAAAAUAAAUAAGACAGAUGUGGUUUGUAAAUAGAUAAGAUAGAAGCUAGACUUUUAGGUUUAGGUAAUCCAAAUUAUGAUAUGAAUGCUAAGAACAUGUGAUAAUAUUCUAGAACUCAAAUGCAAAUAGAAGAUCUCCAGCUCUCACUGUGAGUCUAAAUGUUUGAAUAUGUACCAUACUUUCAUAUGCGAUACAGAACGAGUGUCGAUCGAUACACCUAUAGGCGUUAAUGAUAGAAUCGAUAAGUUCACUAAGCCAACAUUAGAUGAGCGUGCAAGUGCGCCUAAUAACUUAGCUGAACAGAAUUAUAUUCAGGUAUGAAUCUACUCUUGCAGUUUUCAAAUCCUAUGAUCAAGAUUUUAGUUAGCUACUCUAGACUGUAGACAAUAAGAUCUAACUCUGUAUAGAUAUAUUCUUUGAUGGAACACCUUCUUAUAGUGGAAAGCUCUGACUCUACUGAAUUUUCACAAAAUUUUCAAAGUAGAUAAAAAAAGUCUUGAACCAUAGAUUCAGUAAAGAUACUUUGCAAAAGGUUUAUUCUUAUUUGGAAUAUACAUUAAUGAAUAACGAAACAAAGGGAAAAAUCUUUAGUUUCAACUAGAACAUAAAAUCGAGAUUAUAGGAGAAAAAAGAAGCUACGUGAAAGCUAAAUCCAAACAUGUCAUAACUUUAUCUGCAAUUGUAAAAAACAAAUUUAAUUUGGAAAGAUAUCAUAUGUUUAAUCGGAUAUAGAGAUGACAAUCAUGGAUCUGGACCACGGGCCUGGCUUGUAAAGGACUGUCGCGGGACGGUAUUGGAACGAGGUUUUCUAGGCCCGUAAAUUUGCGGGUCUCGCGGGACGGGUCUUUGCAGGACUGAGUCUUUUACGAGAUGGACCAAAACGGGUCAUGCGCGAUUACAUGGACCCGCAUUUUUUUCUUCGUUUCUUAUUUUACCUGAAAAAACAAGAAAGAGAGUGAGAAGAAAGCGAUUCUUGUGACUUUCCUCCCAGAAAACAUAAGGAGCUCCGGCGAUGAUGAUUCGAGCUCCGGUGAUGAUGAUUCGAGUUCCGGUGAUGACAACUCCAGCUACAGCGAUGACGAUUCGAGCUCUGGUGGUGUUUUAAUUUGGUUUUAUCUUUUUAUUACACAAAACUAUGAUUGCUUUAUUACAAUGUGAUAUUUCUUGUUUAAGUUGAUUGGUUUUGUUUUCAGUACUGUGAAAUGGUGUUUUUCCUAAAUUAUAUUUGGUUACAAUGGUGUUGUUUAGGAGAAAAGUUAGUUGUAUAUCACGUCACUUGUAUAAUUUGGCAAAGUGAUUCACGAUUUUUUUUGUAAUCUAAAUAAUUAAAUAGAGAGAUGGUUUGAUGAAGACAUACAACACUUGAGCCAAAUUAUUACAAAGACAACAACUCAAUCAGAUUCAAACUUAAUAAAACCUUAUGUUGAUAACAAAAAAAGGAUUUUAACUCAAGAACACAAGCACAAACGGAGCUUUGUGACAUUGAUUUUGAUAAGGCUUUAGUGAAGCUUAAUGAUCUCUCUUCAACUCUCUUACACAACUUUUUUACUUGAACAUUCAUGAAAGAAGUUGUAGCAGGCGGUUUGAUAAGGAAACGUCCCGCGAGACGGUCCGCGAAGGCCUAUAUAUUCUGCAGUAGGGGUUUGGACUGGCAUUUUGAAGACCGCAGUCCGCGCAGGCCCCGUUGUGACCCGCUCGACGACUAAUCCGCCGCGGUACGAGACAGAACAUGAUGGAUAAACCUGUUUGACAUCUCUAAUCGGAUACAAUUCAAAUACAGAGCUAAAAAUUAUCUCUUUCAGAUAUUUUAAGAGAAGAGAGAGAGAGAGCGCGAUUUAACGGUUAAGUUAACGGUUAACGGUUGAUUGACUACUGUGUACUUGAAAUUAUGUGUGUGCUUGUGUGUGCAAUUGACACCCAUAUCAUAAAAAGAUGCACUUGUUUAAAUAUUAAACUAUUUAUAUAACACUUAUGUAAACUGUAAUAAAUACAUUCUGUGCAUUCAUGUGUUUGCGUGUGUGCGCGCAGUUAUAUGCGUGUGUGUGUGCAGGUAAACGCGUGUGAGUGCAUGUGUGAGUGUGGUAUGUCAUACAAAAAUAAACUGUCAUCAUGACUAUGGUUAGAGAAUGAUACUUUAAAGGAAUUAAUUUUAGUAAAUUAAUCUCGAGCGUUAUGGUGCCUUUAGUGAUGAAGAAUACUUUAAUACAGUACUUUAUGCGGAUUAAAGGUGAUUUGUCCGAAAUGAUGGAUUUGGUAAAAUAAAGGGUGUGGAAUUAAACUGCAAUACGGUUUAACUGCUUAUGAAUCUAUCUAUAUUAUAAUAGUUCAGUUUUUGCACAUUUAUCAGCGCGCCACGUUAGCAUUUUGUAGACCCCACUUUUAAAUGAAAAACUGUAGCCCAUAGCUCGAAUCCGAGUUAUUGAGAUAUAAACAAUAACAUUUAUAUCGCCAAGCUAAAUGAUACUUUCUACAUUGAUGGCUGAAUCUAAUAUAUAUUUAUCAAGGUCGGAAGCCCUUAAUUCUUCGGCUUCCUCUGAGGGUCGGGCUUAUAAGUAUAUUAUGGGUUUCAUUUUUAAAUAGGAUUCAUCACGUUAAAUGAAAAAACUAAAGUUUGCAACAAUUAUAGUUUUCUUAUAUUGUAAACUGUUGUCAUUUAACAUAAAUUUGGAUUCUUUUCAUCAUUAGCUCAAAUAGUUCUGAGUUACAAAGUUGCACCGUGUCUCUGUUCGUAAUCUAUUUUUUCACUGGUGAACUCUUCAUGUCGCCAUCUUAUAUCGCUUGAUCAUAAAUGUUCCUGAUUUAUAGCCCCUCUGUAAACCCUAUAUAUAUGAUUCUCAUCUUUGAUGAACUCAAUCCGCAUCUCCACAAAACACAUUGAUUCCUCUUAGCUUUAACUAUCUUCUAAAAAAUAUUUCUCUCUGCCUCUCCAGUUCCUCAAACCGGCGUCUCAGCGUCCGUCACUCAACCUUCGAGUUUCUCCAUCUUAGUCGUAGUAAUCAGAGCAUAGCCUCUUGCUUCCUCCGCUUCUGGGAUUGCCUGAACUUCAAGAAAGACAUGGAGUUUGUGGGAAUCACGGUUGUCUUCCUUGAUGAAAAGGUAAGUUAAUCUUCGAUCUAUCAUACUUAUUUAACAUAAUUGUUUUAGUUGAUUUCUUGAUUCUUUGUUGAAAAUAUUAUUUGCAGAUUCGGUGAUUCAUGGGUUUACUCCCGUCGGAUGUGCUAAUCAUUACAUGACAUCUUUGAAAGCAGACACUACAAGAAAACAUUAAUUUAGUGACUACAAUUGCAACUAUGGUUGGUAGUGGCAAAUAUGUGAAACUACCUUCUAAUGGAUUUGCAACUAUUAUGUUAUUAUGUGUAAUGGGUUGUACCUUAGUUGCAAUUUUUCGACUAAAACAUGCAGUAGUAAUACGGUUGCUAAUUUGGGAUUCAUUUGUAACUCUCUUGUAACUAAAUUAUGUAGUCACACAAAAUAGUAGUAAAAAAAGCAAUAUAUGUUCAACUAAAACUUACAUUCUUAAUUUAAUAGUUAUAAAUCAGUUACUUGUAUAAUUUAAUUAUCAUAGUUGCAAAAUAGUAGCUACAUAUUUAUUAUACGUUUGUGACUCUAAUCAAAAGAAUAGCAUUUUUAUUAGUAUGUUUAAUAUUGUGGUUGCAAAAUAGUAGUAUGUGUAUUCAAUUUGUAACUGCGUUGCUACUACUGAAUUAUAGGAGUGGAAAAUUAGUAGCAACAAUUUUGGGACAUUUUUUACCGUAGUAAAAAGAGUAACAAUUCAGUGGCUAAAUAUUGGUAUGAAAACAUAUCACACAUGCCAGAUAUAGUAAAAAAAUUAGUUGUAAUGUCUGCUACAUAUAUAUGUAUAAGUACAGUUAUUUUUUGACUUAUUUGCAACUUCUAAAAAUUAAUUUAGUCAUAAAUUAGUAGCAAUUUUUGUCACUAUUUUGCAACUACAUAUCAUUAGAGAAUACAUUAUUUUCUAAUUUGUUUCAAUAGUUGUCUAAAAUACAUUAUUUUCACAAUUUUUUUACUAUGUAUCAUUAGAGAAUAAUGUAAGAAACCCAUAAAUGGGUAUUUUUUAUAUAAAUUUAAAGCAUUCACAAAUAUUUACAAACAUGUAUCAUCUAUUUGUAUUACAUUCAUGUAUAGUAAUUUUGAUUAGGUUUACAUUUAUCCAGUUAGAUUGUUUUACAAAAAUGAUUCAAGUUAUUUUAUUUAAAUAAAACCAUUUCUUUUUACAUAUAAGUUUUAAAAAUAAAAGAAUUUAGAGUUAAGAAUAUCUUUAGCUACUAAUUUGCAACGGCAAAACAUAUAGAAGUUACAAAAUAGUCACAAAUAGGAAUUACUACUUUGCCACUGGAAUCAUAUUUGCUUAAAUAGUUAUCCAAAAUACAUAUCUUUUUAAAAUUGUUUUACUAUAUUUCAUUAGUAGGUAACAGAAGAAAUCCAAAAAUGAUUAUAUUUUGUAUAAAUUUGUAUCACUGGUAAAAGUUGGACAUGCACAUCUUCACAAAACCCAUGCUACCCACUUGUAAUACAUUCAAAUGCAAUGAUUUAGAUUUGGGUUAAAGAAAUCAAUUAGAUUAUUGCACAUUAAUAAUUUGAUAAGUUCUCAGAUUGAUAUAUAACAAGUGUUUUCUCUUAUAUACUAGUUAAAAAAGCAAAUAAAUGAUAUUUAAGGUUUAGGGUAUUGUUAGGGUUACUUGUUAGCCAAUUAUUUGAAACUGCAAAACAUGAGGCGUUACAAAUAAGUGGUAAAUUUCAUUGUAAUUUUCUUUUACCAUAUGUCACUAUUUUGCAACUAUAUGCCUUUAGAUAGUUACGCUUUGGUCGCACAAUUUGGCUCUAAGGUCCAAAUUUUUUUUAAUAUAGCGCUCAUUUUCUAGAGAAUAGAUUUUCCAUACCCAAAUCCUCUUUCUUCCUUUUAGACCUUUAUGUUCUAUCAUUUUUUUUCUUUUCUUCACACUCUGAUCUCAGAAUUUUCUCUUCACCGAAUUUUGAUUGUCUUCACACUCCAGUUUGCUAAAUUCUUUAGAUAAUCACACUUCAUACUCAGAAUUAUGUAUAACAUGAAAAGGUUGGUGUUUGGUGACAGUUGAUCUUUGGUCUGAGAUAAUUAGAUCGGAGGAAGAAGACGGAGAUGGGUUCAGAGAAGUACCUCAGGUCGAGGUUUAUCAGAGAAGGAAGAAGCUUGAGAAGCCUUCCGCAGCCGAAAAUUUGUAAUUUUGGGAAAAAAAAACCUUCCUUUUGUUGUUGUUUCGAUGUGUGUCUGGGAAACAGAGUGUGGUCGGUGAAAGGGGCUCGAACUAGUGUUAUCAAUGGACCCAAGAGAGAUAGCUGGACUCGUUCCUUUCCACCAGAGGGAGGGAGAGUAUAGCAGCGGGAGCUUAUGUCAACAAUCAGCCUCAGAAGAAGCCUGCACCACUCGGUAAUGGGUUCUCUCCUUUUCUCCUUCAUAUUGUAGAUUUGGGUUCUUCUAAUUCUAGAUGUUUAAUAAAAUAAAAUUGUGUGGUCUCUUUGAUUUGUGGAUUUGUACGAAGGUAAUGUCGUUCCUUCAGUCGGUGGAGUCUGGUGUUAUUUGAGCUUGUAAGUGUCAAAUGGUGAGCACUCACUUUAUCUUAGCUCCUUGCCUGCGAUCCAUUUGAUUAUUAGGUCUUUCCUUUCCCAUCCAAUGAUGCCCGGUCUAGUUCCAGAGAAGAAUACCUGUAAACACACAUAUCCAGUUCAUAUUUGCAAAAGUUUGGUCUUGAUGGUUCCGGUUCGAAACUGGAACGAAAGAUUUUAAAGUCGACUUCUUCUGCAUUUAUAGGAAUUUUAAAUAUUUCAAUUGUUGUAUUUCUAACUUUUGACUUUCAGAUUAAGUUCGAAGUUAAUAUAUAAAUUCUGAUUCCAAAACGAAUAUUAUAAUAAAUUUUUAUUUCUAAAUGAAUAUUUUUUUUUUUUUUAGUGGUCACUAAAUUAUGCAACUAAUUUGUAAGCAUACCAAUAAUGUGGCUGCUAAAUAGUUGCAAACCACUGCAACUAAUUUGUAACUAAAAAUAAAUAUUGUCGUCAGAAAUUAGUUACUUAAAGUAGCCACUAACUUAUAAAUGUUUUAAAUUAGUCGCAAGUAAAAAGAUACUAACUAGCAACUACUAUUUACUAACUAAUAGGAGACCAAAACCGUGGUCUCAAAUUAUUUUUGCAACUACGACAUUAGUUACAAACGAGUUGCUAAUAUACCACUAACUAUAUAGUCUUACUUUAGUCGCUCUUUUGGGACUAAUUUGCAACCAACAUUAUUUGCGACGAGCUAUUUCUAACUGAAUCAAGUAGUUGCAAAAUAGUCAUAAUAUCUAUAGUUGCAACUAUCUUCCAACUAUUCUUGUAGUUACAAAAUUGGUGUUUUCUUGUAGUGAGAUUUCAUUGUGAAAGUCGAUCGUUUUGAGGUUGCUAGGCGCCAAGAUAAUUGUUCAUCCAUUCCUCAUUCGUUUCAUCUCACUAACCAUUAUUGAUGAAGUCAUCACGGGUGCUCCUGAGAUCAAUCUCCAGUCAAGAUUAGACUGUUCGACAAUCUCCAAGUGAUUGCGAACACAAACCUAGAACUCCCAGGUAUAUUAUCAUAUUGCAUAUGGGUUUAUAUUAUGUUUCGAUAUCAUAACUUAUAUUUAAACUCGCAGAUGUGGUUGGGCAAAUCUGUUAUGUCCAGAGCUCUGGCCUCACCAAAGAAACAACUUAAGUCAUUAUCCGUCUCCUCAUUGAUCCGUAAGAAACAAUCAACACAUAAUUUUCUUUAUAUUAUUGUAUAUAUUGUGAUAACAUCAAUAAUCAAAAAUAUUUCCUAAUCUAAUUUUACACAAAUAUUUAUUUUACAUCUUAAAAUAAACCACAAUAACCCAAACAAUCAAAACACCAAAAACUAGAAUCCAAAAAAAGACGAAUCAUUAAUGAUCACCUCUCUUUUUGUCUAAUCUUACAAAUAAACUUCAAAACAAAUACACCAAACAAAUCAACUCAACUAAAACUCAACGACACAUACAUUGAGCCAGCUAAACAAAUACAAAAUACACGGCCAGCUAUUUAACAAUUUACAAACUUACUUUCGCAGUGCUUACGAAGAAAACGAAGACGACAACCAAGAUCAGUGAAAUUACCUAACCAAAAAAAGCAGAGUAAGUUACAAACUCUAAUAAAUACAACUAACAAUGAUUUAUGUUUACAUAUUACCCAUCAAAUAAAAGAGAAACAAACACAUCCACACUAUGAGAUACAAGAGACAAUCUCAACAAACACAAAAGCGGCAACAACUGCUCACUGCUCUUGUCUUAUGAAAAUAGCUUACAUGCUCAGUGUCAACAGGCCAAUGCUAUUGUUUUCUUAUGAGAAAUACAUAUAAUCGUUUAAAACUCAUUAUGGCCCAAAUAAUAAUUGUCACUCAUUUUAUAUUUAUUUCUACAAGUCUUCAUGUAUUUUUUUUAAAGGUUCGGUAAAAGCAACAAGUUUAAAAAUAAAAAAAACAUAUAACCAAAAUAAUAAGAAUAAAAAAAAUUAUUACUUAAUACACAUAACUAAACUGGAGAAAAAAAUAUCCAGAAACAAAAGGUACUCUCAACAACCUUAAUAUAAUUUAUGUAAUCUCAACCGUACAAGUAACAAAUUAAAAAGACAAACAAACAAUAAGUCUCAGUGACCCAAAAAGCAACACCACGAACUAUAUCAAUCACAUUACUAACACAGUUUAGUCAUUCAUGAGUGGAGAAUAGUACAUACACAGUUCAUCAUCACAACUCUAACCUUAUAACAAUAAAAACCUUGAAAAACAAUGAUCAACACAAAACGCAAAAUUCACAGGUACAAUAACCCUAACAAAUAUUGAGAUGAAACAAGAACUCUUUCCAAUGCCCCUAGUUUGAUAAAAGAAAUAGUAUAGUUUUGAAAAAAAAAAUAGCAUAGUUCUAAAAAAAAGUAAUGUGAUUUUGAUAACAAUUAAUGCAAAAUAAAUAUAUAAUACAGCUAUAAAUUAAAGACACUAUUGGGCCAGGUCACAAAUUGGUAAAGUAUCCAAAUCUAAAAAGAACCCGCAAGCCCUGUUCAAUUUUGUGUGCCAUGUGACAUUUUUACCCCUACUUAGGUUACACGUAAGAGUGAAAGGGGGAAACAGUUGUGUUCUAGGAGAUAUCCGACAGUAGAAAUUGAGUCGGCGUAAUAUCUCAAAGUACAAUCUUAGGUUCCUGUAGAAGGGUAGGUCUCCAGCUAACUUUUCCCCAACCACUCAUUAUGUUUGAGAGGCGUGUAAGGUACAAAACGAUAUCUACAGAGAAUCGGUGAGAAUAUCUUGUUCUAGCAGGGAAUGGGGGAUUGUAGAGGUUAUCACCCAAUGUUAGGGUUUCCGAUUUUUUAAUUAAAGAGGACCUGCGAUGUCAUAAAUGUCAACCUGAUCUGGUAGAGAGAGAACGAAGACUGUUAAAGAGAGCAACCAAAAGUAGAAAAACUCCUUUUACAGUAGUCGUUAUCCCUUCGAUUAAGAAAACUAGAUUAGCAUGGGGCAGCUUGUUAAUCUAGUCGUUGGUGUGUGGGAGCAAGUUUGUGGUGGAGGGUUGCUGUUCCUGGAAGAUCCAACAGAACAAAAAAAUAUGAGGUCAUGGUUCAUGAGAGCCAGACCUAUGCAUCGUUGAUGGAUCUUGUUCGAACACGCUAUAGUGUUGGUGCUCAAACAGUCGUGGCUCUAACGUACGAGUUCCCGGAGUGGAUGAGGGUUUCUGGAGAUAUCGCGACGCCUCCGGGAGAUGUGAAGGAAGAUGGAUAUGUGGAUCUUUUCAUGGGGUAUCCGCCUUGAAAUACCAGAUCUGAGGCUACUAGUGACAAUAGGGAACGAUGUUGUUGCACGUUACCUAUUCAAAAGAAGGGACAAUUACACUGUUAUAGGUAGCUCAACCGGGGCUGUAGCACCUAAGUGUUACUCUUUACGGGGAAGCAAUGCUGCUAACGAUCCCGCUUUUGUAUCAUGGACUGAUUUACAUGGCGGGGUAUCUGAUGGAAAGGCUUAUUGGGAGAGUAUGCUUGCUCAAGGCUGGGUGUUAGCAAACAAGCAGUACCUCAUGAAUGUGUGCACUAAUGGAGACACUUGGGUGGUACCAAAAAAUGGUUUAUCUGUGACAACCCCCUCCCAGGUAUUGGCCACAGCAAGUAGUGAGGGUACGCAGUCAUCUACAAACUCCUCCGCAGCUCCAUUGAAUGAGGUGAUGCUGAUCAAUGAAAGAGGUGUUAUAAGACUAGAUUAAGGCAAUCAACCGCUAGUUAGUCUGUGGAACCUGUGGAACCACCACUUUUAUCUGGGGAGCCGCCGCCAUAAACACCAACUGGAUUGCGUCCACAAAUCCAGGAAGUGCAAUGCUGGAUUGAGAUAGAAGAAUCUCGUCUUUCUUCGUGAUACCAGUAACUAGCAUUUCGAAAGCAACCCUACCCCAUGGAUAUGAGAGAAAUUCUUCAAUGUCUUGGAUUAUUUCAACGUGCUCUGGAAUGAUACAGGGGAAAUGAGACGUCGGAAGUAGAACACACGACGUAAAGGACAUGCACUCAUACUUCAGACGCAUCUCCCUGUCUUUCACCGCCCUUUUUAAGUAUCUCAAUGGAAAAAUCUACUUGGCAGGACUUGAGUGAUCCAAAUAAUUCCCCCCAGUAUAGCUUCUCGUUGAUUGGAUUCUUCUUCUUACUCUUGUUGUUUUUCUGGGGAAUCCUCUUGCAGUUGAGUCAUGUUACAUGAGGAAACUCAUGAAGUGACAUCCUAACUGGUUUUCCAGCGAAGAGGAACCAAAUCUCGUAUUUCUUUUUCACGCGCAUGGUACGUACGAUAACAAAAUGGCCAAAACUUUCAGAAAAAGAGGGUUUUCUGGUUGUGA